AACAAACGCUGGCGGCGUGCCUAACACAUGCAAGUCGUACGAGAAAGGGUCCUUCGGGGCCUGAGUAAAGUGGCGCACGGGUGAGUAACGCGUGGAUAAUCUGCCCUUCAGUUGGGAAUAACUCAUCGAAAGGUGGGCUAAUACCGAAUAAUGCUGUGAGACCUCGGUUGAUCAGCCAAAGAUAGCCUCUGCUUGCAAGCCCUCGCUGCAGGUUGCGUCCGCGUACCAUUAGCUAGUUGGUAGGGUAAUGGCCAACCAAGGCGACGAUGGUUAGCUGGUCUGGGAGGAUGAUCAGCCACACUGGAACUGAGACACGGUCCAGACUCCUACGGGAGGCAGCAGUGAGGAAUCUUGCGCAAUGGGGGCAACCCUGACGCAGCAACGCCGCGUGAGUGAGGAAGGUCUUCGGAUCGUAAAGCUCUGUCGGAUGUAAAGAACCGCAUAGGGGUAAACAGCCCCGGUGUCUGACGGUACCAUCAAAGGAAGCACCGGCUAACUCCGUGCCAGCAGCCGCGGUAACAC
rnacentral:rRNA from 1 species